rnacentral:rRNA from 1 species
UCAUGUAAUUAUUUCCUAGUGGUAUUAUGUACAUGCCUACAGGUCCACAUUUAAGAACACUCAAGCUAGAGUAGUACUGGAAUGGGUGACCACCUGGGAAUUCCUAGUGUUUUACAUGCC